rnacentral:rRNA from 1 species
GACGAACGCUGGCGGCGUGCUUAACACAUGCAAGUCGAACGAUGAAGCAAAGAAUAGAAGCUUCGGCAGAAAUUCAUUUCGGAUUAGUGGCAGACGGGUGAGUAACGCGUGAGCAACCUACCUCUUACAAAGGGAUAGCCUCGGGAAACCGGGAUUAAUACCAUAUAACAUUGCGACGAAGCAUUUCGAUGCAAUCAAAGCUACGGCGGUAAGAGAUGGGCUCGCGUCCCAUUAACCAGAUGGUGAGGUAACGGCUCACCAUAGCAACGAUGGGUAACCGGCCUGAGAGGGUGAACGGUCACACUGGAACUGAGACACGGUCCAGACUCCUACGGGAGGCAGCAGUGGGGAAUAUUGCACAAUGGAGGGAACUCUGAUGCAGCGACGCCGCGUGAGUGAUGAAGGAAUUCGUUUCGUAAAACUCUGUUCUAUGGGAAGAAAAGGACUGUACCAUAGGAGAAAGCUCCGGCUAAAUACGUG